rnacentral:rRNA from 1 species
GACGAACGCUGGCGGCGUGCCUAAUACAUGCAAGUAGAACGCUGAAGAGAGGAGCUUACUCUUCUUGGAUGAGUUGCGAACGGGUGAGUAACGCGUAGGUAACCUGCCUUGUAGCGGGGGAUAACUAUUGGAAACGAUAGCUAAUACCGCAUAACAAUGGAUGACACAUGUCAUUUAUUUGAAAGGGGCAAUUGCUCCACUACAAGAUGGACCUGCGUUGUAUUAGCUAGUAGGUGAGGUAAUGGCUCACCUAGGCGACGAUACAUAGCCGACCUGAGAGGGUGAUCGGCCACACUGGGACUGAGACACGGCCCAGACUCCUACGGGAGGCAGCAGUAGGGAAUCUUCGGCAAUGGGGGCAACCCUGACCGAGCAACGCCGCGUGAGUGAAGAAGGUUUUCGGAUCGUAAAGCUCUGUUGUAAGUCAAGAACGGGUGUGAGAGUGGAAAGUUCACACUGUGACGGUAGCUUACCAGAAAGGGACGGCUAACUACGUA